GCUUCCAUAGCUUAAAUGGAUAAAGCAAGUCCGUCCUAAGGACAAGAUCUUGGUUCAAUUCCAGGUGGAAGCA
rnacentral:tRNA from 1 species